GACGAACGCUGGCGGCGUGCUUAACACAUGCAAGUCGAACGGAAAGGCCCUGCUUUUGUGGGGUGCUCGAGUGGCGAACGGGUGAGUAACACGUGAGUAACCUGCCCUUGACUUUGGGAUAACUUCAGGAAACUGGGGCUAAUACCGGAUAGGAUCUCCUGCUUCAUGGUGGGGGUUGGAAAGUUUCGGCGGUUGGGGAUUGACUCGCGGCUUAUCAGCUUGUUUGUGGGGUAGUGGCUUACCAAGGCUUUGACGGGUAGCCGGCAUGAGAGGGUGACCGGCCACAUUGGGACUGAGAUACGGACCAGACUCCUACGGGAGGCAGCAGUGGGGAAUAUUGCACAAUGGGAGGAAGCAUGAUGCAGAAAAGCGGCGUGCGGGAUGAAGGCCUUCGGGUUGUAAACCGCUUUCGAAUGUGACGAAGCGUGAGUGACGGUAAUGGGUAAAGAAGCACCGGCUAACUACGUG
rnacentral:rRNA from 1 species